UACGUAGGGGGCGAGCGUUGUCCGGAUUUAUUGGGCGUAAAGAGCUCGUAGGCGGUUCGAUAAGUCAGGUGUAAAAACUCCAGGCUCAACUUGGAGAGGCCACCUGAUACUGUCGUGACUAGAGUCCGGUAGAGGAGCACGGAAUUCCUGGUGUAGCGGUGAAAUGCGCAGAUAUCGGGAGGAACACCGGUGGCGAAGGCGGUUCUCUGGGCCUUACCUGGACGCUGAG
rnacentral:rRNA from 1 species